GAUAGAUAGAUAGACAGAUAAAUGUAUUUAUCUGGUUUCCCACCUUCCUUUAGAGAGGCUCCAGAUCAAAAACAAACCCUACCCUCUGCUGCUUUUGUACCCCCCUCCCAGCUCUUGGCUGGACCUUGGUUCCUCCACACAAGAGGGCCUCCCAUAGCUGUGACCAACCUGUGCCCGGGAUCCUGCACACGGCUCCCGGGAUGGCCUGAAGGGUAAAAUAACGUUUUGUCCAAGUACAGUCUGUGUCCCAGAGACUUUAAAAAUGUCACCUCACUGAAUUCUCUCGGUAAUCCUGUGGAUACUUUCUGUCACCAUUUUACAGGCGAGAAUGCCAAGGUUCAGGAAGAGAAAAUGAAAUACACAACAACACACAGCCACUGAGGGAGAGAAGGAGAAUUUGAACCCAGAUCUGAGGUGAUUCUCGCCUUCAGACCGAUUUUUCAAACAUUUGGAAGAUUCCGUUCCUCAUCCUGGCCGAGGCGCACACACACAUCCACGCCCUCACUGACUUCCAACUCUUUCACAAUGAUGCCUCAGCAAAUCUACCUCACAGAUCUGGGAGUUAAUCUGUGAUUCAGCAAAGCAGUCAGAGAUACGGGGAUGUGGAGGAGAGUUGUCACAAACAUUCCAGCCACGAGAAUACAACAGUGCUCCAUAGCACCUGUCUGGGAGUUGUCUGGAGGGCUCUGUGUCUCUCUGGGAGGCUGCGGUGUGAGCCUACGUGCCCUGCAGCGUUCCAACUUGCUCUCAUUUCAACACGACGUGCGGUACCUCCAAUGCAUCUGUGUCUCGACCCACGUUCCUGCAGCCUCUGGGCACCCUACGAAGCGGCUGAGGCACAGCUGGACGACAACUGCAGUGAAAGACAGUCCCCAGGCUUCGGAGGUGGCACUUGAUGGAAAGCACACGGACACACAUGAGUUCAAGCCCCGCUCCAUCACUUACUUCCUGUGUGUCUUUGGACCAGUUGCUUACCUUCUCAGAGCUGGGAAUGCUGCGUGUAUAAAAUGCAGACAAUAAUGCUGACCUUCUUGUUGUAUGAUGAUUUAAACAGAUGACACAGGUAAAGUCCCUAGCAAAGCACCUGGCCCAGAUUCUCAAAAAAUGUAAAGACAAGGACUCUCUCCGUCUUUGACUGCCGGCACCCUACCCGGUGCCUGACACGAUGCAUGUUGGUUGUCCUCGUCUUUAAGCCGUGAGGAGCUGACUCCACUGAGAGGGGCAGGCUGAGUUUAGAGGGACAAGUAAGAGGGGAACCACUGGCUGAGCCCACGCAAAGCCACCUCUGUUGUCUGGUCUUCUCUCUCAUCCUUGGCUUUCCUCCAUUAGCAGGGAAAUGUCACCCUUGAAACUCAAACUUGUAUUGAGCUGGCCGGGGGCUCUAUGGGCACAGGGAACAAUGCACCUGUCAAAUGUCUCACCUUGGCAAGGCUUUGGGGGUCUCUCGUGGCUGCUUACGGCACGCACCCUUUAUUCUCUUGACCACUUCUGUUGGGAAAGCCGAUGUUCUUUAAUCUCUCACAUGAGUAUUCAUUACUGUCUGUCCAAGAGAGAUGUGUAAUAGACGUGGAAAUGCAGACAAUGUAAAGGCUUGUAAAUGGCAAGAAGGACGGAAACAGUCCUCUGAGGGGCUAUAGCUGGGCAAAGGGAGAAAGCGAGGGUCAGUUUUCAAUGUGUACUCUCCUGGACAGAUGUAGAUCAUUCUAAUGGCCGAUUGAUCUCGUAGCUCUGAAAAAUCUCCCACACAGAAAACAGAGGCCCAAUCUGGACCUCAGAUUGGCUGUUUGUUCUUUUAAAUAUGAUUGUGGGUAGACAGGGUAGUUUCCCCCUUUGCAUUGUCUCCUUUGGAAUCUCUUAUUUCAAAAGAAGAUAAAUAUCAAGUACUCCUGUGUUUUGCUGUUUGUAGCAGAUGCCGCGGAAGGAACGGAAGGCAACAGGGUAUGUUAAAAUCAUUUUAACCCAUCAGGGCUGCUUGGAGUAAUUUCCCUGGAAACCUGUGAAAAGGGUUUUCAAGAUGAACUCGAGACAGUUGUAAAUGUGUCCUUUUGUUGGAUAACAGAAGGUGAAUGCUAAUGCUGAGAGGGAAUUGGGGAGCCCGAUAAGUUCUAGUCUUAGAAGUUCUUAGAAGCUCUCUCUGCCCUCCAAGCCUCAGCCUUCUUGGAGCAGCAGAUGAGAGCCAGCACUGGGGGCUGAGACCUGUCCUGCAGCCAUGUGGUGGGAGGAGUGACCCAGGACCCAUCAGUUCAUCUCUGCCCACGGCCCUCGUGUCUGUAAAAUGAGAACACGACACGACGUGACGAGGUACCCCUAAACAGAAGAGCCAGCAAUGGGAAGCUGGGAGCUGCAGCACAGAAAUACGGGCCUGGGCAGACAACGUCACGGUCUUGUCCCCUCUCAGCCACCAACUCACUCAACCUAAAGGAAGUCCCCAAACUCUGCCAGCCUCAGUUUUCUUACGUAUACAAUGGGGGAUUGGAUAAAUGGAAGAGUGGCCAACUUUUUCUCUGUAGAGUCAGAUAGUAAAUAUAUUGGGCUUCAUGGGCCGUAUGGUCACCACUGUAACUACCCAACUCUGUCACUGUGGCAAGAAAACAGCGAAAGACAACGUGUAAGUGAAUGGGUGUGGCUGUUCCAAUAAAACUUUAUUCGUAAAAACAGGGAGCAGGCCGUAGGUCUCGGAUUAGAAGAUCAGGGAGUUUCUUUUUGUGUUCUUUUUAAUUCACAACAUUUCUUUUUUUAAAUUAACGUCUAUAUUGAGAUGUAACUGAUAUAUCUCAACAGAUACAGAUAGAUGUAGAUAUAGAUAUAAACUGCGCAUAUUUAAUAUUUCAAUAGAGUUUUUUCUAACUUAAUAAAGUUAUGUUGUAUCUAACGAAGGCAUAAA